rnacentral:rRNA from 1 species
UACGAAGGGGGCUAGCGUUGCUCGGAAUCACUGGGCGUAAAGCGCGCGCAGGCGGCCUUUUAAGUCUGAUGUGAAAUCUUGCGGCUCAACCGCAAGCGGCCAUUGGAAACUGGGAGGCUUGAGUACAGAAGAGGAGAGUGGAAUUCCACGUGUAGCGGUGAAAUGCGUAGAUAUGUGGAGGAACACCAGUGGCGAAGGCGACUCUCUGGUCUGUAACUGACGCUGAGGCGCGAAAGCGUGGGGAGCAAACAGG